rnacentral:rRNA from 1 species
GACGAACGCUGGCGGCGUGCCUAAUACAUGCAAGUUGAGCGAUGAAGAUUGGUGCUUGCACCAAUUUGAAGAGCAGCGAACGGGUGAGUAACGCGUGGGGAAUCUGCCUUUGAGCGGGGGACAACAUUUGGAAACGAAUGCUAAUACCGCAUAACAACUUUAAACAUAAGUUUUAAGUUUGAAAGAUGCAAUUGCAUCACUCAAAGAUGAUCCCGCGUUGUAUUAGCUAGUUGGUGAGGUAAAGGCUCACCAAGGCGAUGAUACAUAGCCGACCUGAGAGGGUGAUCGGCCACAUUGGGACUGAGACACGGCCCAAACUCCUACGGGAGGCAGCAGUAGGGAAUCUUCGGCAAUGGACGAAAGUCUGACCGAGCAACGCCGCGUGAGUGAAGAAGGUUUUCGGCUCGUAAAACUCUGUUGGUAGAGAAGAACGUUGGUGAGAGUGGAAAGCUCAUCAAGUGACGGUAACUACCCAGAAAGGGACGGCUAACUACGUG